AUAAACGGCAAGCGAUAUAAUGUUCUAAGUUGCAUCGAUAAAGAU
rnacentral:misc_RNA from 1 species